rnacentral:rRNA from 1 species
CGCGUAGGCGGUGCGCUAAGUCAGAUGUGAAAGCCCUGGGCUCAACCCGGGAAUUGCAUUUGAUACUGGCGCGCCCGAAUCCGGGAGAGGUUGGUGGAAUUCCCAGUGUAGAGGUGAAAUUCGUAGAGAUUGGGAAGAACACCGGUGGCGAAGGCGGCCAACUGGACCGGUAUUGACGCUGAUGCGCGAAAGCGUGGGGAGCAAACAGGAUUAGAUACCCUGGUAGUCCACGCCGUAAACGAUGUGUGCUAGCCGUUGGGGCUCUUAGAGCUUCGGUGGCGUCGCUAACGCAUUAAGCACACCGCCUGGGGAGUACGGUCGCAAGAUUAAA